CUACGGGAGGCAGCAGUGGGGAAUAUUGCACAAUGGGCGCAAGCCUGAUGCAGCCAUGCCGCGUGUAUGAAGAAGGCCUUCGGGUUGUAAAGUACUUUCAGCGGGGAGGAAGGGAUGGUGCUUAAUACGCGCCGUCAUUGACGUUACCCGCAGAAGAAGCACCGGCUAACUCCGUGCCAGCAGCCGCGGUAAU
rnacentral:rRNA from 1 species